UCCACAAUCGUCUUGGCCAAUUUCCCAUCUUGGCUCACGGCCAUCUUUCAGAGAAGGAAGAAGAACAGUAUCUCCAUCUCGUGCCUUCCAUUUGCCAGCCAUCCUUCCAUUUAGAAACCACACCUGAUAGAAGAAGAAGUAAAUCCAUCCAUUUGCCUGUCAAACUCCCCGUAAUCAAGACUGCCCGAAUUAUGUGUGGCGGGCCCCCAGAGGAAACUAUGUGCACACUCAUGGUACACUGAAUGGUCAUGCAGGCGGAGCGUUGAGCUAGCGUGUUUGGAGAAGUUCCGCGGUGAUCUCGUCUGCGUCGGCGACGCGGCCCCGCGAUUGGACUAAGCCAGGCAACGACUGUACGCCCCCAACAUGCCGCGACAUAAGUCGGAAUGGUAGGAAUAUGCGGAGGCGACUCUGUGAGAAAGAUGUCCGGUGACGUCACUCUGUCCGGUAAAUUAAUGUCACAUAUGAAGGCAGGAUACUUCAUCUUAUAACAUCCAGCGCCAGGAGUAUAACAACGUUGCGCUUGAAAGAAGCAAUAUAUGAUACCCGCUUGUCGUAAUGCUUCAGAUCAUAUUUAGUUGCUUAAUCUUUCAUGAAAGUCUCGGAGUUCCUGUUUACUGGGAAAUGUACGUCUUCACUAGAGAUGGGACAAAUCCAGAAUUUUGCGAAUUUGAAUUGUAAUCCGAAUCCAAGGAAGGAUCUGCGAAUUCACGAAUCUUACGAACCUCGAAUCUUUCGAAUCCUUUCUUUAAAAAGGGCUUCAACAGCCAGGGAAAAACGAUUCUACUGAUAAGUGUUUUGAACCAGAAUUUAAUAUUUUUGUUUAUGAAAAACAAAUUAAGUAAUAGUUCACUUCCAGCAGAAAACAUACCCAUAUACUUCUUAAAUGUAAUUUAUUUAACGCGUUGUUUAUCAACUACAGAAAAUACAAACUCUCGAGUCUGAAUAUUUCCAUAAAACUAAGAAACCAUCAAAAGCAAAACUAUAUUACUUUUAAACUUGUAAUGUAAGAGGUCCUGCCCGAACUUUUUUUCAGUCCAGAGCAAUGUAAACCAACAAAUAAGGAAACACCCGCCGGGCAAUCAGGCUUUUGUGCGGACUCCGGAGGCGCCUAAUUUAAAAAGAAACAAAGACUUGGUUGAUGGAUUCGGAAGAUUCGAUUAGCCGUUUUGGGCACUGGGAUUCGGAUUCUCGAAUCUCCCUGUCUAGGAUUCGAGGAUUCGGUUGGCCCAUCCCUAGUCUUUACGGAUGGGCGAGGUGUGUACAAAUUGCUCACUUACUCUCGUAGUAUCACCAUGGCAACCAAAUAAAUUUUGCAAAUUCGACUAUGAUAGGAUGUGCUUCCUCUGGGGCUAUAAUUCUGACGUGUGUUCCCGUGUUUGAGUGUAAACGCAUUCCAACUUGCUGCAGCGCGUUGUUAACUAACUACCAUUGCUUUUCUGCCUUUGUGUGUAUGUGCGGACAGCGAUGAUUACUUUAUUUUUCAGUCCAUAAAAACCGUGUUCUUUAAAGGGAGUAUUGGUCUCAAUAUUGCCUCAGGCACAGUGCUUUCCAAGUGUAAACCUGUUCAACAAACUGAAUUUGAAUGGUUCACCACAGUCCCUAUUGCGACCUGCGCAUAUUGUUUUGCCUCGAGCUCUUCUCUAUCAUCUUCUGCUUAUGAGUUUGCUUCAAUCAGUUCUAUUUUAUUUCAGGUGGACGAAUGGACAUGAAGCGCCGCCGCUGCACCUACACAUAAAACACAAACACACACACAGUUCUUAAGUCUUAUAAUGCGUGAUAUUCGACUACUGAGUGCUUCUUGAAGGAUGCUUGACGGCCCAUCAUAUCUCUCUACUUUUUCAGACGUGCCGCACUAUACGCCUGUUGUGGUGCCAUCCGCCACGACAGAACCUGAUGUGGAAGAGAAUACAACGAAGAACGAAACCGAACCUGAAACAACCACAGGUAAGUGCAAAGGCACGAUUCGCUCUGCAGGCAGGGCAGGCUUGAUGACCGACUCUCAGCAGGUACCAUAGCUUAUACGUCGUUGAACGCGUCCGAUCAGUACGGCUGUCUUGUAGUGCUCCAGUGUAGUAAUGCAUUGGCUACCCAGUCUUCGAAGUCGUUCCAUACAGAUUCUGCGUUUGGGGAUCAAUGAUCCUAAAACCAGCAAAGUGUAGCACGAGAAGAUGGUCAUACAUGUACUUUUGUUAGCCAUGCUUGGAGAAACGGUUACGCAGCAAACAUCGACAGCGAAGCGAAAUUUGUGACAAGCCCGGUCGGUGUUUGUGCGAUAGGCCGUACACUACUCGUGCAUGCUACUAAUUUCUGUGAAUGCUAAUUCAGCACUUACGCGCUCCAAAGAUGUACAUGAGCGAGAAGAGGAUUGCGGUACGCUUUUUAAGCUGACCAACCUGUUUCCACGUGUGUUUGUUCUAAGUCUGGCAAUGCAUUUGCCUGGUAAGUAUUCGUUAAAUGUACAAAACUUAACCGCAAAUGAAACCACAAUAACCGUUAAUUUUCCAGGUGAACCGACGACUCUGCACAUAUCUUAUAUUGCUGCUAGAAUCGCGGAACUGAGCGCCAAAAGAAAAUUAGCUGUUACCAGAGCAAGGUAUGAAGACCAGCGAGGCCUGCCCGUGGAAGUACACAACGGUGACAAGAACGCCGAUCAUCCUUCGCCUUCGUUAUCCAUUCUCUCUGAAGACAUGACGAGGACGCGCUGCCUUACAAUAUACAACCACCUACCGCCAACGGAUGCUUAUUGAAGCAUAAAUAUUUUCUCUAUUA